rnacentral:rRNA from 1 species
AACGAACGCUGGCGGCAGGCUUAACACAUGCAAGUCGAACGCACCGCACGGGGAGUGGCUGACGGGUGAGUAACGCGUGGGAACAUACCCUUUUCUAAGGCAUAGGUCUGGGAAACUGGACUUAGUAAUGAGUAUGGCAUACGGGGGCUAGUUUUCUCGGGGAAGGAUUGGUCGGCGCUGGAUUAGCUAGUUGGUGGGGGAAAGGCCUACCAGGGCGACGAUCCAUAGCUGGUCUGAGUGGAUGAUCAGCCACAUUGGGACGGAGGCACGGCCCAACCUCCGACGAGAGGCAGCAGUGGGGAAGAUUGGUCAAUGGACGCAGGCCUGAUCCAGCCAUGCCGCGUGUGUUAAGAAGGCCUUAGGGUUGUAAAGCUCUUUCACCGAUGAAGAUAAUGACGGUAGUCGGAGAAGAAGCCCCGGCUAACUUCGUG